GACGAACGCUGGCGGCGUGCCUAAUACAUGCAAGUUGAGCGCUGAAGGUUGGUACUUGUACCAACUGGAUGAGCAGCGAACGGGUGAGUAACGCGUGGGGAAUCUGCCUUUGAGCGGGGGACAACAUUUGGAAACGAAUGCUAAUACCGCAUAAAAACUUUAAACACAAGUUUUAAGUUUGAAAGAUGCAAUUGCAUCACUCAAAGAUGAUCCCGCGUUGUAUUAGCUAGUUGGUGAGGUAAAGGCUCACCCAGGCGAUGAUACAUAGCCGACCUGAGAGGGUGAUCGGCCACAUUGGGACUGGGACACGGCCCAAAAUCCUACGGGAGGCAGCAGUAGGGAAUCUUCGGCAAUGGACGAAAGUCUGAACGAGCAACGCCGCGUGAGUGAAGAAGGGUUUCGGAUCGUAAAACUCUGUUGGUAGAGAAGAAAGUUGGUGAGAGUGGAAAGCUCAUCAAGUGACGGUAACUACCCAGAAAGGGACGGCUAACUACGUG
rnacentral:rRNA from 1 species